rnacentral:rRNA from 1 species
AUUGAACGCUGGCGGCAUGCCUUACACAUGCAAGUCGAACGGCAGCACGGACUUCGGUCUGGUGGCGAGUGGCGAACGGGUGAGUAAUGUAUCGGAACGUACCUUUCAGUGGGGGAUAACGUAGCGAAAGUUACGCUAAUACCGCAUAUUCUGUGAGCAGGAAAGCAGGGGAUCGAAAGACCUUGCGCUGAUUGAGCGGCCGAUAUCAGAUUAGCUAGUUGGUGGGGUAAAGGCCUACCAAGGCGACGAUCUGUAGCGGGUCUGAGAGGAUGAUCCGCCACACUGGAACUGAGACACGGUCCAGACUCCUACGGGAGGCAGCAGUGGGGAAUUUUGGACAAUGGGGGCAACCCUGAUCCAGCCAUGCCGCGUGAGUGAAGAAGGCCUUCGGGUUGUAAAGCUCUUUCGGCCGGGAAGAAAUAGCAUAGGCUAAUACCCGGUGUGGAUGACGGUACCGGAAUAAGAAGCACCGGCUAACUACGUG